CAGGGAUAGCAAAUGCCUCAUCUCCUUGAAUGUCAGUGGUUGUAGGAGACUAGAGAAGCUACCCAUUGGAGUUGGUAAAUUGGAAGAAUUGAAGGAGUUUCUCAUAAACGAUACUGCUGUACAGGAGAUUCCGAUGUCAGGAGAUGGAUUGAUGAAGUUGGAGACUCUAAAUGCCUUGUGUUGUGGGAGAUUGGAAAAGCUACCUGCAGGAGUAGGUAGAAUGGAAAAUUUGAGGGAGCUUCUCAUAAAUGACACUUCUAUACGAAAUAUUCCGAUGUCGGGAAGGGGUUUGAAGAAGCUAAAAACUCUAAGUAACUCGGGUUGCAGGAGUCUAGAGAAGCUUCCGACUGGAGUAGAUAGCAUGCACGAAUUGAGGGAGCUUCUCAUAAAUGACAUUGCUAUACAAGAGAUUCCAAUAAGUAAAUGUGGUUUGCAAAAGCUAGAGACUCUAUGUGCCUCAUAUUGUGAAGACCUUGCUCAACUUCCAAUACAUGUGGCCCCCUUAAGUCAUUAACUAAGCUAGACCUAUCUCAUUCUGGGAUUGAAGAAUUACCUUAUACCAUUUCCUUUAAUGAGUCUUUAAUUCAAUUGGACCUAUCUUAUUCAUGGAUUGAAAAAUUACCCACUUUCUACUACAAGCUUUCCCCGUUAACUCAGUUGGACCUAUCUCAUUCAGGGAUUAGACAAUUUCCAAAUUUCGAGGGCUACAUGCGGUCGUUAACUCAAUUGGACCUAUCUCAUACAGGGAUUGAAGAAUUACCAAAAUCCAUGGACUCCCUUAAGGCGUUAACCCAUUUAAACUUAUCUUAUUUAGGGAUUAAACAGUUACCCCAAUCCAUGGGAGACCUCAUGUCUCUACAACACCUGUUAUUACAAGGAUGCUACUUGUUAAGACACUUACUUGAUUCGAUUGAAAGAUUGACAUCAUUGACUAAGUUGGAUUUGCAAUCUACAGGAAUUGUGGGGUUACCCCACGGAAUGCGGAAUAUGAAGAAUUUAAAGAUCUUGGACAUUUGUGGAACUAACAUAACAAGAUUGCCUGAUCGAUUCAGUUUUGCCCUACCCGACCUCAAGAUUAGUUGGGAACAAAUGUGAUGUCAUAUGUCUAAUUAAUUCAGAUCACAUUAUGUUGCUCUACGUCUAGAUUUGCAAGCUUCGAUAUCGUGAUGUUGUAUUAGUUGAUUCAUAGUUUUUGAAUGAUUCUUCAGUAUGAUUAAAUUAGAACAGAUCACGUCUCGGAUCACUUGAAGAUUAUGUCAUACUGCUUACUUUUUGAAUCGCCUCUAGGUCAGGUCUCUCGUGUAACUACGUGUGAGUGGGGUUGAUUAGAAGAUUGAUCACAUUAUGAUUUUCUUGCUGGACUAAAAAUAAGGAAUAGGGGCAUUGCGAGUUUUCAAAGCAAAGAGAAGAAUUGAGACUCGAAGAGCACUUUCGGCCGAAUUCAUUCGAGAAUCAACUGAAUUUGUUUGUACCCAGCGUCUAAACCUCAAAAUCCGGACAGCUAUGUUUCAGCGUGUAACCUCAGUAUCUGUGCAUAAACAUCGACUCCGACAUGUGAAAUACAUUGACGAUAGAUGAACCAUUAGAAACGACUCUUAUGAUGAGAGGAGAUCAGUGUCCCAUCACACAAAUCCUGUGUAUGCUCUUCGCGAAUUCCAUGGAUAAUUCGCACGAUUACCUGUGAAAAAAUGAGAUUUCUGGAAGGCCGGAAAUAGUAGCAACAGAAGUUUCGAUCAAGAGAAUGUGUCAAACACAGCAUGGAGCUCAUGACAGGAUGGCUGCAGAGGUUCCCUUUAACAUCCCAAGCAUCUCUGCUAGACGAUCUUCUGGGGGGUCAUUUGGGUCUUGGAGCAAGUUGAUGAUGAGGAUGCUGAGAUGGCUUUGAAUGGAAGGGUUUUGUACGAUGAGUGCUCGAGUCGAGCCGCGUAGCUUAUGUUUUAAAGAAAGCCUGGGCUGGUACUGGUGAGAUUACAUGACCCCUCAAAUUCAUAGGAUAUACAGUUGGGAAGGGAGGCAUUCCAGCCCAACAUACUCCCAUCCUCGCCUUGCAUAGAUCAUGCCGAAAUGAAAAUCGAAGUAACAUGCCCGCCCGCACAGGAUGAGGAUACUGGUGGUGGGCCAAUGCCGGACCAAUGCUUUUGGCGGCGGCAGCAGUGGCGUUCCAUGGUCUUCAAGCAGGGCAUCGGCUUCCAUCCAUCCCAAUUGCGGGUGCGGUUUGGUCUGGAUUGUGGAUUGCUUCUUCAUGCCCCAGGCGAUGCCAAAAAAUGGCUUCGUGAUCGAUGGAGCCGACCUCCCAUGGCCGUUGCUAUGGAGUUCACCGGGCUCAUGUGAUCAUAGAUCUCCAUUGGAAUGAAUCGACAGAGGUGAGAGAUACAAUUUACACGCACAGGCCAUCUUUGAAAUGGAGGAAUCUAUACCCAUCCUCCCCAACUAUUCCUCGGUUAUAAAUUUUGGGGAUGAACUUGGUAGGAGAGAGGCAAUUCACACCAGCAACAUGAAUCUGCGAUGUUGAGAGGGAGGUGAAUCUACGUACGAGCUUGUUGGCGUUGAUGGUGAGUGAGAAGACCAAGAACCAAGAAGACACGAACCGCCGACGAAGAAGAAGAAGAGAGGGGAGAAGGGAUCUCCAUUCAGUUCCCGAGAGAGAGAGAGAGAGAGAGAGCGCAAGAAUGGUGGCGAGAAUGAGAGCGAGGCUGUCAUGUGAGUAAAAGAUGAAACCUUUAGAUACGUUUUCUUGGCUCAUGAGAUUAGUUCCAGCAUAAGCACUACCGGACAGAGUGGCAGAUUCAUGUUGCUGGUGUGAGAAACUGUGGAACUCUUCCUCAAAAUGGAUGCUCUCCAUCUGCAUGUACUUUCCAAGCAUGAAGUCAUUGCUUCUGGAACUUCAGUUCAGUUAGAGAAAACCUGGCCAAGAUCUUCUGGCUCCACACCAAAUGUCAAAGGUCAGUUGGGUUUUCUUUGUCUUAUUAGUUAUCAGAGACAAUUAUAAGGAAUUGUGGAGACAUUGUUCAUGUGCAUGUAGCUGGGAGAGAAGUUCUUCAUGAGAUGGUGAAAAUAGUGAAGAAGAAGCCCGAUAUCCAUGUCAAAGAGAAGAUACUGAUUUUGAUAGAUACUUGGCAAGAAGCUUUUGGAGGACCGAGGGCUAGAUAUCCUCAAUAACAUGCUGCCUACCAGGGGUUGCUGCGAGCAGGAGCAGUGUUCGCUCAGAGAGAGGAGGGUCCUGCGCUGGUUUUUAAACCUCCACAGACACAGCCUCUUUCAUCAUAUCCGCAAAAUAUCUGCAAUGCUGAUAUCCGGCCAGAGCCAUCUGAGUCUUCUGCUGAGUCUGAGUUUCCCACUUGAGCUUGACAGAAAUACAGAAUGCACGGGGGAUCAUGGAUGUGCUCGCGGAAAUGCUGAUUGCCAUAGAUGCUGGAAACAAGGAGGGGCUUAGGCAGGAGAUCAUUGUUGACUUGGUAGAGCAGUGCUGCACCUACAAGCAGAGAGUGGUGCACCUUGUAAAUUCAACAUUGGAUGAAUCACUUCUACGUCAAGGAUUAGCUUUGAAUGAUGACUUGCAGCGUGUACUUGCCAAGCAUGGAGUCAUUGCUUCUGGAACUUCAGUUUAGGCUGAGAAAACCCCGCUGGGACCUUCUGGCACCACGACGGAUGUCAAAGGUCCUCUACUUGAUAUUGGAGAUAACAGCGAAAAGCCUGAUGAAAGAUAACUGGUUCAUUAGUCAUGAUUGCAAUAUAUAAACCCCAAAUACUUGUUCUGUGGCAAAUUAUGAAGUUCAGCUGAAGUCUGUGAACUGAGCAGUGCUACUCUUAUGAUAAGUUGAUCUGGAUAUUUUUCGCUAA